rnacentral:RNase_P_RNA from 2 species
GAUUUUAGGUAAUCGCGGCUAGCGAUAGUUGAGGAAAGUCCAUGCUCGCACAGGCUGAGAUGCCUGUAGUGUUCGUGCUUAGCGAAACCAUAAGCUAAGGUAGUGCCUAGCGCUAACGGCAGGCAAAAGGUCUAAGGCUUCGGCUAUGACUGAGUAACCUCUAAGGUGCCACAGAGACGAGGCUGGUUGGAAACAACUAGCGUGGAACGCGGUAAACCCCUCGAGCGAGCAACCCAAAUAGUGACCUAGUUUCUAGGUAUACUGGUCGGGGCACUUUUCCUAGGGAAAUGAACCGAUGGAAGAGGCGGGUCACCUAGUGGCCGGCAGACAGAUGAUUACCCCACUUAAGGUGUAUCGCCUAUUUCCCUUAAGUGACAGAACAUGGCUUAUCGAA